UGCAUCGGCUGGGAAUCGAACCCGGCCCGCCCGGGUGGCAGGCGAGCAUUCUCGCCGCUGAACUACCUAUGC